UUUUCCCGUCAUCCCUUGCCCUUAAUAUAUACCCACGUCUUACGUUGGUCGGCCUUUUCCGAGCUCGUGGUGGGCUGAGUCAGAGCCUUGAAAAAACUCACUGCCUGCUUUCAAAAAGGUCAGGUGCCCACAGGUGAACAUGUGCCCCAUUUUGAAAAUUCAAGUAUCCAUGAAAACCUGUUCCAUGCUGAUGAAGAUACCCUUCGCCCCUGAAUCAUCUGUUUGUUUCAUUCUGAAAACUCGAGUUGGUGCCAUGCCCUUGCUAUGUCAUCCUGCCAGCUCCAAAUCCUGCUCUGAUUCAGGAACCUGAAUGAUGGCUUGAUUACUGUCAUUGUAGCUAUGCUUUUAUCGGAAGGAUCCGACUUCUGGAUGGCAUAACCACUACAGUUCUCCAGAUACUUUAAAAGAAGUAACCUCCUGGAAGCUGUUUGGAAGGCUGCUUUUAUGAAAAAUACUGCAUCACAGAAACUUGUUUACACAUCAACAGAACUAGAGAACUAUUCACCAACAAAAUGAUUGCAAGCUGGCAUUGAUUGGGGGCGGCAACUGUAUUUAAAAGAAAAGCUACACUUGAAUGACAGAUUUCAGAGAGGUAUCCAUGAUGGUCUUCGGGGUAUGAAGAGACUGCAUGGUUUUUUUGUUGCAACAGAUGAAACAUUCAUUGCAUCAUCCUUUUGUCAGUCGCAGCCCAUUUAAUGUGUUGCUUGGCUUCAUGUGUCCAUUAAAGAGGCUUACACCACAGUAAGCUUUUUAGUUUUUAAGGUGUUAUGAAGACCAGCAUUUGCGGUGCUGAUAACAAAUUUGGAGACCCAGCUUCAAAGAUGAAUUGUGUGCUCACAUUCCAAGAUGGUUGUGGAUGAAGCCCUGGGCUGCUGGAUGCUGAAAAACCUAUUUUGUGUGAUUGAAAUAAAGCGGGUUUUCAUGGUCUUUCUGCUAUAUGUUCAGCCAUUCCCCCCCCCCCCCCCAUCUUUUGACUCACUAUUGUCUUCUGCAGUCCCUGGUUGGAUAACAAUAAAGUUUUAUUUUUAUAUGUCUUA